ACAGAGGGGUAAGGUGUGACAAUUAAGAAGGAAAUGUAUGAUUUUGUUAUUACCUAAAGUCAAGUUAAGCAAAAAUGCAAAAAUGGCAAAGGAGUGUUGCAUGAAGGAAGAAUGCUGGAUCUUGGUUAAAGUCAAUGGCGAGACCAAAGCUGAUUUUCAAGCGGUGCCGCUGAUGAGAACUGAACCAUAAAAGUUACAGCUGCUUGAUUGGCCGGUAGUGAGAUGUGAGUCAAUAAGGAGAAAGAGUCAAUGAGUGAAUGGAGACCAAAGUAAGGAUUCGCAUGAUGAUUGUGGCUCACCAAACGGUAACUUGAAGGGAAGAACCAAUAGCCACAAAUGGAGGCCAGGAGAGAAGUGCACCGUGACCAAUGGUUG
rnacentral:misc_RNA from 1 species